CAAUAGCGUAUAUUAAAGCUGUUGCGGUUAAAAAGCUCGUAGUUGGAUUUCUGUCAAGGACAACUGGUCCGCCCUCCGGGUGAGCACAUAGUUUGGUCUUGGCAUCUUGUUGGAAACUGUUGCUGCGCUUGGUUGUGUGGUGCAGCUUCCAGCACUUUCACUUUGAGGAAAUUGGAGUGUUUCAAGCAGGCACAUGCCUUUGGACACAGUAGCAUGGAAUAAUUAGAUUGGGCUUUUGCUCCAACUUGUCGGUUCCUGGAGCUGAGGUGAGAAUCAAUGGGGAUUGUUGGGGGCAUCCGAAUUUAGCCGUCAGAGGUGAAAUUCUUGGAUCUGCUAAAGACGGACAACUGCGAANGNGUUUGCNCAGGAUGUUUNCAUUG
rnacentral:rRNA from 1 species